UACGUAGGGGGCGAGCGUUGUCCGGAGUUACUGGGCGUAAAGGGCACGCAGGCGGUGCGGCGCGUUUCGCGUGACAGCGGAGGGCUUAACUCUCCGAGGAUGCGAAAGACGGCGGCACUUGAGGGCCAGAGAGGGACACGGAAUUCCGGGUGGAGUGGUGAAAUGCGUAGAGAUCCGGAGGAACACCGAAGGCGAAGGCAGUGUCCUGGCGAGUGACUGACGCUGAGGUGCGAAAGCCAGGGGAGCGAACGGG
rnacentral:rRNA from 1 species